CCUACGGGUGGCAGCAGUGGGGAAUAUUGGGCAAUGGGCGCAAGCCUGACCCAGCAACGCCGCGUGAAGGAAGAAGGCUUUCGGGUUGUAAACUUCUUUUCUCAGGGACGAAGAAAGUGACGGUACCUGAGGAAUAAGCCACGGCUAACUACGUGCCAGCAGCCGCGGUAAUACGUAGGUGGCAAGCGUUAUCCGGAUUUACUGGGUGUAAAGGGCGUGUAGGCGGGGAAGCAAGUCAGAUGUGAAAACCACGGGCUCAACCUGUGGCCUGCAUUUGAAACUGUUUUUCUUGAGUACUGGAGAGGCAGACGGAAUUCCUAGUGUAGCGGUGGAAUGCGUAGAUAUUAGGAGGAACAUCAGGGGCGAAGGCGACUUACUGGACUGUAACUGACACUGAGGCACGAAAGCGUGGGGAGCAAACAGGAUUAGAUACCCCAGUAGUC
rnacentral:rRNA from 1 species